GUUUGCUUCAGCAGUACGUAUGCUAAAAUUGGGACAAUACAGAAAAUAUUAGCAUUGUCACUGUACAAAGAUGCUGCACAAAUUUGUGAAGCAUUUCAUAUUAAG